AUUGUGUCUACUUCCCUUUUUAGUUCUAGUAUGGUUUUGUUCAUUUCCAUCACCUGUUUGGAUAUGUUAUCUUGUUUUUCUUUAAGGACUUCUGUUUGGUUGUGUUUUCCUGUUUUUCUUUAAGGACCUGUGACUCUUUAGCAGUGUUCUCCUGUAUUUCUUUAAGUGAGUUAUGAAAGUCCUUCUUGAUGUCCUCUACCAUCAUCAUGAGAAGUGUUUUUAAAUCUGGGUCGUCUAGAUUUUCGGUUGUGUUGGGGUGCCCAGGACUAGGUGGGGUGGGCGUGCUGUGUUCUGAUUUUGGUGAGUAGUCUUGGUGUCUGUUAGUAGGAUUCUUACAUUUGCCUUUCGCCAUCUGGUAAUCUCUGAAGCUAGCUGUUAUAGUUGUCUCUGGUUAGAGCUUGUUCCUCAGGUGACUUUGUUAGCCUCUAUAAGCAGACCUCGGAGGCUAGCUCUCUCCUUAGUUUCAGUGGUCAGUUUCUCUGUAGGCAAACUCUCUUCUUGCAGGGAAGGUGCCCAGAUAUCUGGUGUCGAACCUGCCUCCUGGAAGAAGUUGUGUUCCACUCACCAGAGGUCUUAGGAUCCCGUGGGGAAUCCUGUGUGGGCCCUUGCGGUUGUUGGGAGAUCCCACUGGCAAGGCACCCCGUGCUCGAGUGGAGCAGAAGGGACUUGUGCCCCAGGUCAGGCCCGGGUCGUCUGCUUCCCUAUUUACCGAAGUCUCAGGUUCCACGCGAUUGGAUGGAGGCAGACGCUGUGUUUCACUCACCAGAGGUCUUAGGAUCCCGCAGGGAAUCCUAUGUGGCCCCCUGCGGAUGUUGGGAGACUCUGCUGGCAAGGCACCCCGGUGCUCGAGUCUUUGAAGUUUCUCUGUGUAGCCCUGGCUGUCCUGGAACUAACUCUGUAGACUAGGCUGGCCUGGAACUCAGCUAUGACCUGGACUCAAGCUGUGGUCUUGGUGUCUACUGGGAUGAGUGUUGCACAUCUAUGAAUACAAUCAAGAAAAUCCCCACAGAUACUAUCACAGGUCAACCUUGUCUACGCAACCAUUGAGGCUCUCUUCCCAGGGCUACUCAAGUUUGGAGUCAUUUACUUAUGUUGGUGAUUUCAGAUCACAAAUUAUAUCUGCCGAACGUAGAGAUCUUACUCCUUCAAUGAAGGCAAGACUUUUGUCAAAUGGGAAUCAGUUGUGUCAUGACUCUGAAUUUAUAGUAUAUUCAUCGUUGAUACUGAUGAUAACUGGCCAUGAACCUGAGCAUGGAAUGCACCAGAGAGACUCCAUUUGCAAGCUGAUGCAACAAGACUAUGUAUCCUCUACAAAGAGGAUGCUGAAAGCUGCUCCAGACAGUGUGCACAAAGACAUUGACAAGCAGAGCUACAACCAGUAGCAUGCUGAAAAUCAGGAACCUAAAAGUGUUGACAUACACUAGUCCUCCAAGGUCUAAUCACAUGAGCUCCAAGAAUGUGGCCAGUGAUAUGGCUCAGGACCUAGUGGUGUUUGUCACAAAGCCCGACAGCCUGAGUUUGAUCCUUGGGACCCAUGAGCUGGAACUCCUGCAAGUUGUAUUCUGACCUCCACAUAUUCUGAUCACACAAAUGCUGCCACACUCAAAAAAAUAAAUAAAUGUAAAAAUUCAAAU
rnacentral:lncRNA from 1 species